UGCCAGUAGUCAUAUGCUUGUCUCAAAGACUAAGCCAUGCAUGUGCCAGUGCAAGCGAGUACACAGUGAAACUGCGAAUGGCUCAUUAAAUCAGUUGUGGUUCAUUGGAUCGUUGAGCUAGGUGGUACAACCGUGGAAAAGCCAGAGCUAAUACAUGCACGCAGAUGCCUCGAUCCCUUCCCUGGGAGAGGGGCGCAGUUAUUAGAUCAAGACCAACCGCGAGCAGGGGCUUCGGCCUCUCUCGUGCCGUUCUGUGGUGACUCUGGGUAACCUCGAGCAGAUCGCAUGGCCUCCGUGCCGGCGACGUAUCUUUCAAAUGUCUGCCCUAUCAAAUGUCGAAGGGAGGUGCCUUGCCUCCCUUGUUGGCAACGGGUGACGGGGAAUCAGGGUUCGGUUCCGGAGAGGGAGCAUGAGAGUCGGCUACCACGUCCAAGGAAGGCAGCAGGCGCGCAAAUUACCCACUCCUGACACGGGGAGGUAGUGACGAAAACUAACGGUGCGGGACUCCGUUGAGGCUCCGCAACCGGAAUGAGUACACUUUAAAUCCUUGUAUCGAGGACCCAUUGGAGGGCAAGUCUGGUGCCAGCAGCCGCGGUAAUUCCAGCUCCAAUAGCGUAUAUUAAAGUUGUUGCAGUUAAAAAGCUCGUAGUUGGAUCUCGGUGCGGCCGGCAGUCAGUCCCGCGGGUCCCAAGGCUUCGCAGCCUCCGCGGUGUACAGCUGCCGGCGCCCUACUCGGCGGGGGGAGUGCGACUCUGUCGUGGCUCCUGCCCCCACUCGGCCCACUGUGGCUGGUGGAUCAGGGCAGUUGGUGGUGCCCUGUUUCCAGGUGCGCCACUGGCACCCGUCCGAUUUUUACUUUGAAGAAAUUAGAGUGUUCAAGGCAGGCCGGCAUGGCCCGAAUAAUGGUGCAUGGAAUAAUGGAAGAGGACCUCGGUCCCCAUUCUGUUGGUUCUCCGGGAUUGGAGGUAAUGAUUAAGAGGGGCAGGCGGGGGCACUCGUACUGCGGCGUGAGAGGUGAAAUUCUUGGACCGCCGCAAGACGGACUAGUGCGAAAGCAUUUGCCAAGGAUGCUUUCAUUAAUCAAGAGCGAAAGUCAGAGGUUCGAAGACGAUCAGAUACCGUCCUAGUUCUGACCCUAAACGGUGCCAACUGGCGAUCCGCCGGAGACUCGUACCUAUGACCCGGCGGGCAGCCCCAGGGAAACCGAGCAAGUCUUUGGGUUCCGGGGGAAGUAUGGUUGCAAAGCUGAAACUUAAAGGAAUUGACGGAAGGGCACCACCAGGAGUGGAGCCUGCGGCUUAAUUUGACUCAACACGGGGAAACUCACCCGGCCCGGACACCGUGAGGAUUGACAGAUUGAGAGCUCUUUCUUGAUUCGGUGGGUGGUGGUGCAUGGCCGUUCUUAGUUGGUGGAGCGAUCCGUCUGGUUAAUUCCGAUAACGAACGAGACCCCGGCCUACUAAAUAGUCCGCCUCCCCGCCAAUGGGAGGGGCGAACCCGUAGACUUCUUAGGGGGAGAAGCGGCGUCGAACAGCCGCCUGAACGGGGGCAAUAACAGGUCUGUGAUGCCCUUAGAUGUCCGGGGCCGCACGCGCGCUACACUGAAAGAGUCAGAGGGUAGACUCCUGGCCAGACAUGGCUGGGCAAUCCGUAGCCAAACUCUAUCGUGCUAGGGACUGGGGCUUGCAAUUGUCCCCACCAACGAGGAAUUCCCAGUAAGCGCGAGUCAUCAGCUCGUGUUGAUCACGUCCCUGCCCUUUGUACACACCGCCCGUCGCUACUACCGAUUGGAUGGUUUGGUGAGGCCUUUGGACGGGCCCCGGGGUGGUUCCUUGUGGACCGCCCGUCUUGGUGCUGCUCGAAAGGAGGUCGAACUUGAUCAUUUAGAGGAAGUAAAAGUCGUAACAAGGUUUCCGUAGGUGAACCUGCGGAAGGAUCAA
rnacentral:rRNA from 1 species